GGUUCGGCCCUCGGCAGACUGCUCAGUAACACGUGGAUAACCUAACCUUAGGUGGAAGAUAACCUCGGGAAACUGAGAACAAUAUUCCAUAGAUCUAGAAUGCUGGAAUGCAUCUAGAUUAAAAGUUCCGACGCCUAAGGAUGGGUCUGCGGACUAUCAGGUUGUAGUCAGGGUAAAGACCUGACUAGCCUACGACGGAUAUGGGUUGUGAGAGCAAUAGCCCAGAGACGAUAUCUGAGACACGAUAUCGGGCCCUACGGGGCGCAGCAGGCGCGAAAUCUUCACAAUGUGCGAAAGCACGAUGAGGGGAUCCCAAGUGCUGGCACGUAAGUGUCAGCUGUUUUUUAGUCUAAAAMACUGAGAGAGUAAGRGCUGGGUAAGACGGGUGCCAGCCGCCGCGGUAAUACCUGCAGCUCGAGUGGUGGCCGCUAUUAUUGGGCCUAAAACGUCCGUAGCCUGUUUAGUAAAUGCUUGGGUAAAUUGUGUAGCUUAACUAUACGAAUACCGGGUAGACUGCUAAACUUGGGACCGGGAGAGGCUAGAGGUACUUCCUASGGUAGAGGUGAAAUUUCUGUUAUCCUAGGGGGACCACCCUKUGCGAAGGCGUUCUAGCNUAGAA
rnacentral:rRNA from 1 species